CUCGUAGACUCCUACGGGAGGCAGCAGUAAGGAAUAUUGGACAAUGGGCGCAAGCCUGAUCCAGCCAUCCCGCGUGCAGGAAGACAGCCCUAUGGGUUUUAAACUGCUUUUAGAAGGGAAGAAACGCCUACAUUUAUGUGGGUUUGACGGUACCUUCAGAAUAAGCACCGGCUAACUCCGUGCCAGCAGCCGCGGUAAUACGGAGGGUGCGAGCGUUAUCCGGAAUUACUGGGUUUAAAGGGUGCGUAGGCGGGCGAUUAAGUCAGAUGUGAAAGCCCGGGGCUCAACCUCGGAAUUGCAUUUGAAACUGGCAGACUAGAGUACUGUAGAGGGGGUAGAAUUUCAGGUGUAGCGGUGAAAUGCGUAGAGAUCUGAAGGAAUACCGGUGGCGAAGGCGGCCCCCUGGACAGAUACUGACACUCAGAUGCGAAAGCGUGGGGAGCAAACAGGAUUAGAUACCCUGGUAG
rnacentral:rRNA from 1 species